rnacentral:rRNA from 1 species
AACUUUCAGAGAUGCGUUUUGGUGCCUCUCUCGGAACUUAGUUGCAAGUGCUGCAUGGUGUGUCGUCAGCUCGUGUCGUGAGAUGUUGGGUUAAUUCCCCCCACAAGCGCAACCCUUUUCCUUAUUUGCCGCCAGGUUAUGCCGGGAACUUUAAGGAAACGGCUGCCGACGAACUGCCGGAAGAAGGGGGGGACGACAACAAAUCAUGGCCCUUACUAUGACCUGGGCUACCGUGCUACUAUGGUCGGUACAACGGGUUGAAACCAAGCCGCGAGAUGCAAACCUCCCCAACCCAACCGUACUCCGGAUUGAAUGCUGCAUCUCACUUCCCUGAAUGCGGAAUCAAUUGUUAUCACGGAUCAAAAUGCCUGGCGGAAUAAAUUCCC